CAGCCAACCAGCGGGCGGGGGGGGCUGGGGGGCGGCCCGGCGCUGGCAGAGCGGCGCGGGCUGUCACAGGCGCCCGACGCGCGCUGCAGGUGGCAACUUGGAGGUGCCGCCGCCGCCUCCGCUGCGGGAGGAGCCCGGGUCUGGCGGCCCCCUCCGGCCUCUGACAGCCCUUUCCCGCCGCCGAACCCGGGCCCGGGCCCGGGAGAACCCGGAGGGAAAAGCCGCUGCGCGAGGACCUGCGCCGCCCUACCCGUCUUGCGCCCUUGCGCUACUUUUUUUCUUCGAGGAAGGUUGUGCCUGGGCGCUGCGGGCGGGCUCCGGAAGGGGCUGGAGAGGAAGGCUUCGGGCGACCCAGGUGAGCGCCUCUCCUUUCCUGUGCCCCGAGCCUUUUCGCAGCCGCGCGCAGGCCGGGACAGCGGCUCGCCGGGUGGGCAGGGGCCGGGGCCGGGGCCGGGGCCGGGGCGCGGGCGCCUGCCCUUGGCUCGAGGUCGAUGGGGGAGAGCGCGAGGAAGGGGCGAGGCUGGCCCGGCCGGGGGCUGCCUUCCGCGUGCCGCCUCGAAUCGGCAGGGACUCUUGGGCGGGCCCCCCGAGGCGAGGGACAGGCGAAGAGGUGCGCUGAGAUGGCCGGAGGGCUGUGCACCCCGGUUCAAGCCGGCGGGGGUCGCCCGGGCGCGCGCCGUUCGGGAGCCGCAGCGGAGCCGGGCGCGGCGCCUCUGCGAAGCCCUGGAGAGCGCGCGUGGGGCCGGUCGAGAGCAGGAAUCUUCGGUCCCCGGAGCCCAAGGCGCUGGAGGACGUCAUCCCUCUCGGCCCGGCAACUCCUCCUCCGCCCCUCGCGCCUCCACCCCUGCGCGCCGGCGGCUCAGCCUCUUCGGAGAUUCCGUGCCUCUGCCAACGCGCCAAGUGGCGGCUCUUGUCACUCCCCUCCCUGCUCUCACUGGAGUUGGGGCGCCCCGGGGUCCGGCUGCCCGGCCGUGGCCGCCUGCUAGUGCUCCGGGGGCGAGCGAGGCUGGCCAGCUCUCCGCGCGGAGGGCGGAGGUGAGCGCGGGCUCGCUUUCCAGUGCUCCCGCUAUCCAUCCCCGCCCCCCCCCCCCCCCCCCCCGCAGCUUGAACCGCUAG
rnacentral:lncRNA from 12 species